UACGGAGGGUGCAAGCGUUGUUCGGAUUUAUUGGGCGUAAAGGGCGUGUAGGCGGGCCUGUAAGUCAGAUGUGAAAGCCUUCUGCUUAACAGGAGAAGUGCAUUUGAAACUACAAGUCUUGAGUAUGGGAGAGGAGAGUGGAAUUCCCAGUGUAGAGGUGAAAUUCGUAGAUAUUGGGAGGAACACCCGUGGCGAAGGCGACUCUCUGGACCAAUACUGACGCUGAGACGCGAAAGCGUGGGGAGCAAACAGG
rnacentral:rRNA from 1 species